rnacentral:rRNA from 1 species
ACKGCUCAGUAACACGUGGCUAACCUGCCCUUGGGACGGGACCAACCCCGGGAAACUGGGGCUAAUCCCCGAUAGGUGAAGAACUCUGGAAUGAGUCUUCGCCCAAAGGACGUCAGAUCAUGCUUCUGGCGUCGCCCAAGGAUGGGGCCGCGACCGAUCAGGCUGUUGGUGAGGUAAUGGCCCACCAAACCUAUAACCGGUGCGGGCCGUGAGAGCGGGAGCCCGGAGAUGGGCACUGAGACAAGGGCCCAGGUCCUACGGGGCGCAGCAGUCGCGAAACCUUUGCAAUACACGAAAGUGUGACAGGGUCAUCCCGAGUGCCGACCGCUGAGGUUGGCUUUUACCCAGUCUAGAACGCUGGGGGAAUAAGGAGAGGGCAAGUCUGGUGUCAGCCGCCGCGGUAAUACCAGCUCUCCGAGUGGUGUGGACGUUUAUUGGGCCUAAAGCAUCCGUAGCUGGCUGAACAAGUCCCCUGUUAAACCCACCGAUUUAAUCGUUGGUCCGCGGGGGAUACUGUUCGGCUAGGGGACGAGAGAGGCAGACGGUAUUCCCGGGGUAGGGGUGAAAUCCUAUAAUCCCGAGAAGACCACCAGUGGCGAAGGCUGUCUGCUAGAACGCGCCCGACGGUGAGGGAUGAAAGCUGGGGGAGCGAACCGGAUUAGAUACCCGGGUAGUCCCAGCUGUAAACGAUGCAGACUAGGUGUUUGGACGGCCACGUGCCGUUCUAGUGCCGCAGGGAAGCUGUUAAGUCUGCCGCCUGGGGAGUACGAUCGCAAGAUUGAAACUUAAAGGAAUUGGCGGGGGAGCAC